rnacentral:sRNA from 1 species
GGCUGAUCAUCGUCCAUAGAGGCCACCGUACCCGACGUUGCGGACAGUAACAAAGAGUCAAGCUUGGUGGAGGUGGAGCCUGAGGACACGACUGAAUGACGAUUGAACUGAGAGUUCAGGGGCGGGGUUUGAGGGCGAACUCGGGACAGAGACUGGACAGAGUUCAGGGAGGCGGGGCCUAAUGAUGGAGCAGGGAGGGGAUUGGGCUGAGGGCGGUACCUGCACGAGGAUUGGGCCGAGCGCCUCGGGGGCGGUCCUUGAGGGGGCGGUGCUGUGUCGGAAGUCAAAGGUCAGUAAAUAGUGGUGAUGUCAUGCAGGCAAGAUGGCGGAAGGGUGAGCCUGUCGUUUUGCUCCUAGGUGUUGAGGCCUGAAUUCUCCCAGGGUUGGGGUGCUGGUGGGGAACAUGAGAUCAGCGGGGGCGUGGACUGAUCUGAAAGGGCAGAGUGGAGUCACGUUGUGAGGGGGUGGGCAAGCGGUCUGCGAAGCCUCGGCCCGCAGGGUACAUCCGAGGGGGAAACAAACCGGAUCUUUGGGGCGGGCAGGGAUCGCACCGCGGUGCUGCCAGAUGUGUCUGUCUUCCACAGGGAGGACGUGGGAUGGUGGCGGAGCUGGCUGCAGCAGAGCUACCAAGCAGUCAAAGAGAAGUCCUCUGAAGCCUUGGAGUUUAUGAAGCGGGACCUGACAGAGUUUACCCAGGUGGUGCAGCAUGACACGGCCUGUACCAUCGCAGCCACGGCCAGCGUGGUCAAGGAGAAGCUGGUUACAAAACCAUCGACUGCGAUGUCAUCACCCUGAUGGGCACACCGUCUGGCACAGCUGAGCCCUAUGAUGGCACCAAGGCUCGCCUCUAUAGCCUGCAGUCAGACCCAGCAACCUACUGCAAUGAACCAGAUGGGCCCCCGGAAUUGUUUGAUGCCUGGCUUUCCCAGUUCUGCUUGGAGGAGAAGAAGGGGGAGAUCUCAGAGCUACUU